GGGCGGUUAGCUCAGUUGGUAGAGCGCCACGUUCACACCGUGGAGGUCGUUGGUUCGAGCCCAAUACCGCCCACCA
rnacentral:tRNA from 1 species